rnacentral:lncRNA from 1 species
UAUGUUUUCCUAUCCAGCGCAACGGUAUGCAGAAGGACCAUGGGCAAAACAGUAACUUUGCAAAGAAUAAAUAGAAGAACUCAGUGCCUCUCACCCCUUUCAUGGAACAUGUGGGUAAAAAAAAAAAAAAAAAAAAAGGAAAAUGCAGUAACUAUAAAACAACCUUUCUUUGAUGCUGAACAAAAAGCAAGCUUGAAAAUUUUAGGGCUACUGUGCAAGUGAGUGAAAAAUACAGAUGUCUUUCCCUCCAGUGCAGCUCCAGUCUGCCAUCUUAGCGGCCCCAUGCCUAACUCUGUAUGCAGAUGGUAAAUAUCCAAACACCCAGUUAACAGCAAAGCUCAGCAGUAAACCUUAAAAAAUAUACCUUUUCCCUUCUUUUUUUUUUCAAAGUCUCAAAUAAUUAGGGCGCUCCCUUGUUCAAUAUCAUCAUUCUCGCCCUCCCCAAGUUACAAAAUUCAAGGUGAUACAUAAGAAAACUUAGGUCAUCUUUGUAAAAAAUUAAGAUACUGAUUAUUCAAAAUAUAGAACUUUGAUGGCGUCUUCAUUUUCCAAAGUCAGUUUCUAAUGUUGAUUCCCCCAAAGGAUCAGAAGCAAUAUAUUAAGGAAAUACCACCUAAUACUUGGAGCUUGCCCAGGAGAUUUGCAUUUCCACGUUUCAUUAUUUGAAAGGAGGAAAUGGCAGGCGGCUUAGCUAUUCCAAGGCACAGAGUCCCAGUGGCUGCAAAGGAGCUGGCAGGAGACACAGUCAGGGUCCCUUUGGGGGCUGAGUGUCACAGAUGUUGUAAUUUCAGUGGGCAAAGGCAGAGUGCUUAUAUGAGCUCUGGUUCCCCCAAGUUCUCCACUGCCCCCGUUAGAGCUGGAAGUGAGCCAGCCCUGCAGAGGGCAGGUGUGGGCACAUUUUUCAGUCUUUUGUAGACAGUCCCGGAAGGACAGAGGUGGUAGUCUUGGCCAUGCGCUUUGACUUAACUCCAAGAGUGAAGAGGAACAAAUUGGAGAACGCCCGCCUGUCUAGAGAUGUGAAGCUCUGUGGUCAGUGAGCUCUGAGAAAGAACAACAAUCAUCACUGCUUUCCAUAGCCAGUGUGUGGCGGGCACCACACCUCCACAGGGAAGACGGGAGACCUGAGGUGGCCUUGUCAGAGUCCCUCACAGGGCCCCCUGCCCCGACUAUGGACACAGGAAAUGGUUCCAAGAGCAGAGAAGUGUAGCCCUUGUGGGCUCAGUGUCCAAGACUAUACAAAAACUCGGGUAGGUCCCUGAAUGUCUUGAUUUAGGUUCUACAAGUUUGC